UUCCUUCUUCUCGACUAAACCCUCUUUCCUUUUUACCUCUUCUCACUCUAGAUUUUCAUUUUCUCUUACAAUUCUCAAUCCUCUUCUCCGUUGAUGAUGAUCCUCCUCUUCUCGCUUUCCCUGGUAGUCAAGUGACGGGGUUUUCUUAUGUACAUCUCAUCGGAGCUUUGCAUGUUGACUUCUACGCCAUCACUAGACAGUUUCAGUUAUGAAUACAUCCCACCCUUCGGAAGAUGCUCGCCUUGCUGCCUUAUGUAAUCGACUUGGCCGACUUUGGUCGGAAGAAGACGUGGACGUCUGGGAUGAUGAAAUACCGCCGG
rnacentral:lncRNA from 1 species